CAGGGAUCUGGCAGGUUGGGGGAAGGGACAGGGCCGGCUUUAAGCCGAUUCCCCGGAAUCGGGCCCCGAGCCUAAGGGAGCCCCGCUCCGGGGGUCUUCGCAGGGGCGGCUCCAGGCCCCAGCAUACCAACUUAAUUUGAAUGGCUUUCUAGCCCUGGCAAGAAAGAAGAGGAAGACUGACUGGAUGUCAGAACACAUCAACGCAGAUACUAACUUGUCAAAUGUUAGAUCAGAUGGGCAUAAACUGGUUAAGUGACUCAUCCAAGAUCAUAUAGUCAGAAGCAAAGUCAGGAACAGAGACCAAGGAUGUAGUCUUCAAGAUAACCAGAGGCUGCCUCCAGGGGUAGAGACCCAUUUCCCCCAGUCUCCUGAUCCAGCAGUUCUAUAGAUAUUCCCACCUUAGGCAUUCCUGGCAAAACGGAACCCUCUCCUGGCCUUGGCUCCUGCAGAUGGUCAUCAUCCAAGGAGAAAGGCGCUGCUGCUGGUACAUCACUCCACAAGCCGACAUGAUUCUGAUGUCAUCUUGUGACUCGACCAUCACUUAAACAGACUUUAAAAGACAAGGGUGGAGAUUGCUCUAGGAUUGUGCAUGGAAUACACAU